UUCCAAUCGACCGUGAAGAGUCUCCGAUGCCACAGUUAACAUCCAUCCCCCGGGAAAUUCUGACGAGGCGCUAAAUUGGCGUUGAGAAAGUGACAAAGCCUUUGAGGUGGCAUAGCAGAUUAGCACUUCUGAUUAGAACCAGCUGAUAGCGAUUCUUUGGAAGAGAAGCGUGCCGAAUGAUCCAAGCAGGAAGUGAACGAAACAUUUAGUGUGGAAAUUGUGUCAGGUUAUGAGUGUCUGGGAAAGUGUGUGCAAACAAGUGCCGCUGGGUAACAUUCCGGUUCGUGAAGAUACACGCUUGAACGAAGUUACACAAAAACAGUUAACUUGUGGAAAGCAGCAGAAAGACAUCAUUGAUCGGCAGCGGAAAUCGAGAUUUCAUUUCUUGCUCAGGACUGCUGUGCGUUUCAGUGAGUGGAUGUGGUGGUGAGACGAGAACAGUGUUAUGAAAUUAGACAGACAGGAGACGGAAGCAAUAAUGCCAACACAGAUUCGAAAAAUGGGAAGCUUAGCUGUCGUAAUCUUGCUGAUUACCGUCGGAUUAGCGGGAAAAGUUUUCGCAUUUAGCCAUGGAAAGGGAAAGGCGAGUUAUCCCCUGCACAACGAUAUUUUGAUGCUGUUGCACCCGAAG